rnacentral:rRNA from 1 species
CUACGGGAGGCAGCAGUAAGGAAUAUUGGUCAAUGGACGCAAGUCUGAACCAGCCAUGCCGCGUGCAGGAUGACUGCCCUAUGGGUUGUAAACUGCUUUUGUUAGGGAAUAAACCCAUCUACGAGUAGA